rnacentral:rRNA from 1 species
UACGUAGGGUGCAAGCGUUGUCCGGAAUUAUUGGGCGUAAAGAGCUCGUAGGCGGUUUGUCGCGUCUGCUGUGAAAACUCAGGGCUUAACCCUGAGCUUGCAGUGGGUACGGGCAGACUAGAGUGCGGUAGGGGAGACUGGAAUUCCUGGUGUAGCGGUGAAAUGCGCAGAUAUCAGGAGGAACACCGGUGGCGAAGGCGGGUCUCUGGGCAGUAACUGACGCUGGAGGAAGCGAAAGCGUGGGGAGCGAACAGG